rnacentral:rRNA from 1 species
AGUGAACGCUGGCGGUAGGCCUAACACAUGCAAGUCGAACGGCAGCACAGUAAGAGCCUGCUCUUACGGGUGGCGAGUGGCGGACGGGUGAGGAAUACAUCGGAAUCUACUUUUUCGUGGGGGAUAACGUAGGGAAACUUACGCUAAUACCGCAUACGACCUACGGGUGAAAGCAGGGGAUCUUCGGAACUUGCGCGAUUGAAUGAGCCGAUGUCGGAUUAGCUAGUUGGCGGGGUAAAGGCCCACCAAGGCGACGAUCCGUAGCUGGUCUGAGAGGAUGAUCAGCCACACUGGAACUGGGACACGGUCCCGACUCCUACGGGAGGGAGCAGUGGGGAAUAUUGGACAAUGGGCGCAAGCCUGAUCCAGCCAUACCGCGUGGGUGAAGAAGGCCUUCGGGUUGUAAAGCCCUUUUGUUGGGAAAGAAAAGCAGCAGGUUAAUACCCCGCUGUUCUGACGGUACCCAAAGAAUAAGCACCGGCUAACUUCGUG